AGGUGUUAACUGCUUCGGAUUCCAGCACACAUGGUGGUUUUUCUUUAUUUAAAAAGGAUGCCAUUGAAUGUCUUCCUCUAUUGGUAUUUUCAUUUAAUAAAUACACCAAAUAAAUCCAUAAUUGACUUAUGUUGUAAAUUUUUAUAUGAUCCUUUGUAUUAAACGUUUUUUAGGAUAUGUCACAGCAAGCACCGAGUCAGUGGAUAGUUGCUAAAGAUCUCCAUGAUCAUGUUUGGAAAUUUAAACACACUUUUAGAGGUAUCUAAGUUUUCUAUAUCAAAAUCGUUUGGUAGUAACUAAUAAUCUUUAUACACAACUAAUAAUCUUUAUUUAUGUAUAAAUUAUCAACUAGGUACACCACAAAGACAUCUUUUCACAUCUGGUUGGAAACAGUUUGUAAGAAAAAAAAGUUUGGCCGUUGGAGACUCUGUUGUAUUCCUUAGGUAUAUACAUUUUGUCAUUUUACAUCUCUUUUGUUUCUUAAUUUUUUUUGUAUUUUAAAUAUUUUUUGUUCUAGAGGGGAGAAUGGGGAAUCACGAAUCGGAAUCAGAAAAGCAGCGCCUCAACAAAGCAACAUAUCAUCAUCAGUAAUUUCAAAAGAGAGUAUGCAUCAUGGUUUAGUUGCUGCUGCAUUGAAUGCUAUUAACACCAAAUGUAUGUUCGACGUGUUUUAUAGGCCAAAGUAAGGAAAAUACUUUAUUACUCUACUUAAACAUCACGAGAAUAUUUUAUUUUAAAAAGCAUAUUUUAAUUUAUUCUUGAUAUGAUGAUAUUAGGUCGAGCAAAUUCAUUGUCAACUGCAAAAAAAUUAUAGAUGCAGUGAACAUGAAGUUCAAUACAGGUUCAAGGUUUACUAUGAAGUUUGAAGGACGUGAUUUUAAUGAAAUAAUGUAAAUAUUUGACUCUCAUAUAAUUUUUUAUUCCAAAUAUGAUUACUUACAAAUUUUGCUUAUACUGCAAAGAUAUUCUGGGACAAUAGUAAAAGUGGAAGAUUUAUCCAUUUAUUGGAAGGAUUCAGAAUGGCGAAACCUACAAGUAAAACUUAUUCAUAACUAAUUUUUGUUAUAUUAAUUUAGAAUAUGAUUUCAAAAUAAUAAUAAGUAAAAUCCACUAACUUAUUUUAAUAGGUUCAGUGGGAUGAAGCUGCAACAAUUCCAAGACCUAAUAAGGUCUCUCCAUGGGAGAUCGAGCCUUUAAUUCGAGAAAACAAACGCCAACGCGAAAUUGGUAAGAAAAUACUUUUAAAUCAUUUAUGCUUCUUUUUGUAUCCAUUAUCAUCAUAUUUCUAUAUAUAAGUUCAAAUAUGAUAAUUCAUAUGUUGACUCAAAGCCAAUAAAUUGGAGAAUUAAGUAUAAAAUCUUCAACAAGUCUUCCUCAACUUAUUUAUCAGAAUGAAACUAAUGAUUCAAAAAUUUCAUCUGGUUGGCUAGUGAGCUAUGCAGGUCUUGCUAUGUCCAAACCAGAUUACAAUGACCAAAUGGUCCAGUCAACAAAAGAAAAUUCAACCACCAAUGCAUCUAGUAGCUUCAGAUUGUUUGGAGUUGAUCUAACGGCUUCUACCAAAGCAAGAGAUGUUUUGGAACCACUUGAAUCAUACCAAAAGAGUAAAAUUUCUGAAAUCUUUGAUGAAGAAAAGCUUGAUCAAAUUCAAGCAGUGACAUGACUAACAGAAAUCCAAACGAAGAAAAUAAGGUUUACUACAAGUAGUACCAAGGUACGACAAAGAGCAUCUUCUACUUAUUCUUUACUUUUUAGUCAAUUCUAAAAUUAUUCAUUAUUAAUAACUAGAACAUGAUAAGACAUAGGCUUUCGUAAAAUUAUUCAUGUUCUUUUUAAGAAAAGACUAGAUUUUAUAUAUGGUUGCACACACAGUUUUAUUCUAAUACAGUAGAUUUGAUACUGAUAAGAAACUUGAAUAACUUUUUAACCAGAUUGAGAUGACUAUAUUUAGUUCACAAACACUUGAUAUGUUUAUUGACCAGGUUCACAUGGAAGGUGUUGUUAGAACUGUUGAUUUAACUGAUUUUGAUGGAUACAAUCACAUGAUCGUUGAACUAGAAAAACUCUUUAAUAUCGAAGGCAAGUUGCAUAUGCACAGUCAAUGGAAACUAACCUUUAAAGUUCAUGAAGGAGAUAUGAUGCUUGUUGGAGACGAUUCAUGGCUGAAAUUUUGCAACACCGUGAAGGAAAUAUUCAUAUGUUGAAAAUAAGAUGCCAUAAAAUGAAAUUUGAGAACCAAUUCUCUAAAGGUGACUCAGCAUUUACAAAAAUAAUUUCACCGUCCGAUGUCGACGACAGUCAAAAAAGGGUUUUGUUACUUUUAAUGCUUUUUUAUAUAAUACUUGGGUUUGAUCUCUGUUCACCCAGAAAUUUUACUUUUAUUAAGUUUUCGUUUAACAUUUGUUUUUAACUUGAAGAGUUUAGUUUUAUAUUAUGUGUGAUAUUUAUUAUUGUGAUUGCUCUUCUUUACUUUUAUCAACUCUUUUCAUUGAACUUAUUUGUUAUAACUUAUAAGGAGAUUAAGACUCAGUUUCAUUGUGUUUACUAAAUUGCCUUAUACAAUUACUGAGAUAGUUUGAAUGGGACUAUGUUCUGUUUUUAUUUUGGCGAUAGAACUUUUAAUCAUUUUCUUAUUUUAAAUCAUCUAGUUUCAUGUCUGCUCUUAUUUGUUUUUGGUAAGUUGUUUUAUAUUGCAUUCUUUCGAAUUGUGCAACUAUAUAUUUUUAUUUCCAUAUCAAUAUUGGAAUUAUGGUUGAGUAUUUUUUUAAAAUUAUGUAUGUUACUUUACAAUUUAUUUCUAUACAAUAACUGUAGAUCUCUUAUUUCUGUCAUGUAAACAAACUUUUAGUUUGUUUGUAGUACUAACAUAUGGUUAUUAACAUUUACCAACUAAGCUAAUGGAGAUUUUAGUCAAAAAUAGUUAAAAUAUUACAUAUUAUUUUCAAGGCUGGAAGCACAUGCUACCCCAGCUUCUAGCCAGGGCCGACACUGCUUACAUUGUGAUGAAACUCUUGUGUAGGUUUAUUCUCUAUUAAUCUAUGUAAUUGUUAAUAAAUCAUUUCUCUAAGAUUUGAUACCAAAAUAUUGAAACGUAAAAAAAAUUAGUGACUUCUUAACUACUGGAGUAAAAAGACUUCCAGUAGAUAUAGGUUGCGGAUACUGAAACUAGAAUGUUCAAUGUAAUUUGGUUCUCCCAUGUGAUUGAGGCCAUCUGAUUGAGAGACUGGUUAGAUAAAAACUGUUAUCUUUGGUACAGUCAAUGAACUUGAUCGAUUUUUUUCUUGAUCUGAGUAGGAACAAAAUCGAAGAUAUUUCUAAAUACAUGAACGCUCAAGUGGAAGAGUUGUGUAAGAGAGUUGACAAGCUCACCAGGCUUCACUAUGCCUCAUCAAAAUCAAUGCCAUAAGCUAUGUUCUUUUUUUUUUAAUUUAUACUUUCUUGAGUUUAAAGUCUUUUGAUUUGUUAGCAUCAUCUUCUGAAUGGAUUUAGGUAUUGGCUUUUGUAAUAACUUGGCUAUGUUGUUUUGUUUCUUAAUCAAACCAACUCUGUUUUUAGUCCUUUACAUAGAGAAUCAUGCAGAUAUAAAACAUAAUUGUGAAUA